rnacentral:rRNA from 1 species
UACGAAGGGGGCUAACGUUGUUCGGAAUUACUGGGCGUAAAGCGCGCGUAGGCGGUGAUCUUUGUCAGAGGUGAAAGCCCGGGGCUCAACUCCGGAAUUGCCUUUGAAACGGGAUCGCUUGAGUCCGAGAGAGGAUGGCGGAAUUCCUAGUGUAGAGGUGAAAUUCGUAGAUAUUAGGAAGAACACCGGUGGCGAAGGCGGCCAUCUGGCUCGGUACUGACGCUCAGGCGCGAAACGUGGGGACAACAGGGAUUAAGA